CCCAAAUGAUGUUCCAUUCUACCUAAAUUCAUUGAAUAUGGAGGUUAGAAAACUGAUUUAAUGAGACUGAUGG
rfam:Strongylocentrotus purpuratus Contig1239_fixed, whole genome shotgun sequence.